rnacentral:rRNA from 1 species
GCAAGAUUAAAACUCAAAGGAAUAGACGGGGACCCGCACAAGUGGUGGAGCAUGUGGUUUAAUUCGAAGAUACGCGAAGAACCUUACCUAGCCUUGACAUUGAUAGAAUCUUCCAGAGAUGGAGGAGUGCCUUUCGGGGAACUUGAAAACAGGUGCUGCACGGCUGUCGUCAGCUCGUGUCGUGAGAUGUUGGGUUAAGUCCCGCAACGAGCGCAACCCUCGUCACUAGUUACUAACAGUUAGGCUGAGGACUCUAGUGAGACUGCCUUCGUAAGGAGGAGGAAGGUGAGGACGACGUCAAGUCAUCAUGGCCCUUACGGCUAGGGCAACACACGUGCUACAGUGGUUAGGACAGUGAGAAGCGAUACCGCGAGGUGGAGCCAAUCUAUAAACCUAAUCUCAGUUCGGAUUGUAGUCUGCAACUCGACUACAUGAAGCUGGAAUCGCUAGUAAUCGUAGAUCAGCUAUGCUACGGUGAAUACGUUCCCGGGUCUUGUACUCACCGCCCGUCACACCAUGGGAGUUGAUUUCACCCGAAGCGGGGAAGCUAAACUGGCUACCCUCCACGGUGGAAUUAGCGACUGGGGUGAAGUCGUAACAAGGUA